rnacentral:rRNA from 1 species
GAUCCUGGCUCAGGAUGAACGCUAGCUACAGGCUUAACACAUGCAAGUCGAGGGGUAGCAUGGUCUUAGCCUGCUAAGGCCGAUGGCGACCGGCGCACGGGUGAGUAACACGUAUCCAACCUGCCGUCUACUCUUGGACAGCCUUCUGAAAGGAAGAUUAAUACAAGAUGGCAUCAUGAGUUCGCAUGUUCACAUGAUUAAAGGUAUUCCGGUAGACGAUGGGGAUGCG